CCCGGGAGCUAAGGCGAGGCCGAAAGGCGUAGUCGAUGCACAUACGGUUGAAAUUCCGUAGCCGCCGAAAUUGUUAAGCACAGGGACACAUAGAGAUAUCCGAACCCGGGCGUUGGUUGACCCGGGCGCAAGGGACCGAACAUCAGUAGGGAAGUCGGAGAUGCUCUGUGGCGAGAAAAGCUGUGUGUAUUGAUUAGGCGCCCGUACCGCAAACCGACACAGGUAGAUGAGGAGAGAAUCCUAAGGCCAACGGGAGAAGGGUUGUUAAGGAACUCGGCAAAUUGACCCCGUAACUUCGGGAUAAGGGGAGCCUCCUACGGGAGGCCGCAGUGAAUAGGCCCAAGCAACUGUUUACCAAAAACACAGGUCUCUGCUAAAUCGAAAGAUGACGUAUAGGGGCUGACGCCUGCCCGGUGCCGGAAGGUUAAGAGGAGAGUUUAGCGCAAGCGAAGGUUCGAAUUGAAGCCCCGGUAAACGGCGGCCGUAACAAUAACGGUCCUAAGGUAGCGAAAUUCCUUGUCAGGUAAGUUCUGACCCGCACGAAUGGCGUAAUGAUUUGGGCACUGUCUCAACAGCCCGCCCGGCGAAAUUGUAGUACUGGUGAAGAUGCCAGUUACCCGCAACUAGACGGAAAGACCCCAUGGAGCUUUACUGUAGCCUAAUACUGAAGAUCGGUAAUGCAUGUACAGGAUAGGUGGGAGCCAGCGAAACCCGGGCGUCAGCUCGGAUGGAGGCAACCUUGGAAUACCACCCUUGUAUUGCUGGUUUUCUAACCUGCGGCCAUGAAUCUGGUCGGGGGACACUGUUAGGUGGGCAGUUUGACUGGGGCGGUCGCCUCCAAAAGCGUAACGGAGGCGCUCAAAGGUUGGCUCAGCACGGACGGAAAUCGUGCAUAGAGUGCAAACGCAUAAGCCAACUUGACUGCGAGACCGACGGGUCGAGCAGGUACGAAAGUAGGAGUUAGUGAUCCGGUGGUAUGUGAGUGGAAAUGCCAUCGCUCAACGGAUAAAAGCUACCCUGGGGAUAACAGGCUGAUCUCCCCCAAGCGUCCACAGCGACGGGGAGGUUUGGCACCUCGAUGUCGGCUCGUCACAUCCUGGGGCUGUAUUCGGUCCCAAGGGUUCGGCUGUUCGCCGAUUAAAGUGGCACGCGAGCUGGGUUCAGAACGUCGUGAGACAGUUCGGUCCCUAUCUGUUGCGGGCGCAGGAGAUUUGAAGGGAGCUGUCCUUAGUACGAGAGGACCGGGAUGGACAGACCUCUGGUGCACCAGUUGUCGUGCCAACGGCACAGCUGGGUAGCUACGUCUGGACGAGAUAAACGCUGAAAGCAUCUAAGUGUGAAACUCCCCCUAAGAUAAGAUCUCCCAUCCAUUAGGAGUAAGGGACGACAGAGACUAUGUCGUUGAUAGGUCGGAAGUGUAAGUGCAGUAAUGCAUUGAGCUGACCGAUACUAAUAACCCGAGGGCUUGACC
rnacentral:rRNA from 1 species